rnacentral:rRNA from 1 species
UGACGGUAUCAUAUGAAUAAGCACCGGCUAACUCCGUGCCAGCAGCCGCGGUAAUACGGGGGGUGCAAGCGUUACUCGGAAUCACUGGGCGUAAAGAGCAUGUAGGCGGGUGAAUAAGUUGGAAGUGAAAUCCUAUAGCUUAACUAUAGAACUGCUUCCAAAACUGUUCACCUAGAGUAUGGGAGAGGUAGAUGGAAUUUCUGGUGUAGGGGUAAAAUCCGUAGAGAUCAGAAGGAAUACCGAUUGCGAAGGCGAUCUACUGGAACAUUACUGACGCUCAGAUGCGAAAGCGUGGGGAGCAAACAGGAUUAGAUACCCUGGUAGUCCACGCCCUAAACGAUGUACACUAGUUGUUGCUAUACUAGAUAUGGCAGUAAUGCAGUUAACACUUUAAGUGUACCGCCUGGGGAGUACGGUCGCAAGAUUAAAACUCAAAGGAAUAGACGGGGACCCGCACAAGCGGUGGAGCAUGUGGUUUAAUUCGACGACACGCGAAAAACCUUACCUGGCCUUGACAUAGUAGGAAUCUUUAAGAGAUUAGAGAGUGCUAGCUUGCUAGAACCUACAUACAGGUGCUGCACGGCUGUCGUCAGC